rnacentral:rRNA from 1 species
CAGCAGCCACGGUAAUACGUAGGUGGCAAGCGUUGUCCGGAAUUAUUGGGCGUAAAGGGCUCGCAGGCGGUUUCUUAAGUCUGAUGUGAAGGCCCCCGGCUCAACCGGGGAGGGUCAUUGGAAACUGGGAAACUUGAGUACAGAAGAGGAGAGUGGAAUUCCACGUGUAGCGGUGAAAUGCGUAGAGAUGUGGAGGAACACCAGUGGCGAAGGCGACUCUCUGGUCUGUAACUGACGCUGAGGAGCGAAAGCGUGGGGAGCGAACAGGAUUAGAUACCCGGGUAGUCCCUGUCUCUUAUAC